UUUAUAUGAGAGUUUGAUCCUGGCUCAGGAUGAACGCUGGCGGCGUGCCUAAUACAUGCAAGUCGAACGAGUUCUCGUUGAUGAUCGGUGCUUGCACCGAGAUUCAACAUGGAACGAGUGGCGGACGGGUGAGUAACACGUGGGUAACCUGCCCUUAAGUGGGGGAUAACAUUUGGAAACAGAUGCUAAUACCGCAUAGAUCCAAGAACCGCAUGGUUCUUGGCUGAAAGAUGGCGUAAGCUAUCGCUUUUGGAUGGACCCGCGGCGUAUUAGCUAGUUGGCAGKGGAUAGG
rnacentral:rRNA from 1 species